rnacentral:rRNA from 1 species
UGGGGAAUUUUGAACAAUGGGCGAAAGCCUGAUCCAGCAAUGCCGCGUGUGUGAAGAAGGCCUUCGGGUUGUAAAGCACUUUUGUCCGGAAAGAAAUCCUUGGCUCUAAUACAGUCGGGGGAUGACGGUACCGGAAGAAUAAGCACCGGCUAACUACGUGCCAGCAGCCGCGGUAAUACGUAGGGUGCAAGCGUUAAUCGGAAUUACUGGGCGUAAAGCGUGCGCAGGCGGUUUGCUAAGACCGAUGUGAAAUCCCCGGGCUCAACCUGGGAACUGCAUCGGUGACUGGCAGGCUAGAGUAUGGCAGAGGGGGGUAGAAUUCCACGUGUAGCAGUGAAAUGCGUAGAGAUGUGGAGGAAUACCGAUGGCGAAAGGCAGCCCCCUGGGCCAAAUACUGACGCUCAUGCACGAAAAGCGUGGGGAGCAAAACAGGAUUAGAUACCCUGGUAGUCCACGCCCUAAAACGAUGUCAACUAGUUGUUGGGGAUUCAUUUCCUUAGU